UCGAGCGGUAGAGAGAAGCUUGCUUCUCUUGAGAGCGGCGGACGGGUGAGUAAUGCCUAGGAAUCUGCCUGGUAGUGGGGGAUAACGUUCGGAAACGGACGCUAAUACCGCAUACGUCCUACGGGAGAAAGCAGGGGACCUUCGGGCCUUGCGCUAUCAGAUGAGCCUAGGUCGGAUUAGCUAGUUGGUGAGGUAAUGGCUCACCAAGGCGACGAUCCGUAACUGGUCUGAGAGGAUGAUCAGUCACACUGGAACUGAGACACGGUCCAGACUCCUACGGGAGGCAGCAGUGGGGAAUAUUGGACAAUGGGCGAAAGCCUGAUCCAGCCAUGCCGCGUGUGUGAAGAAGGUCUUCGGAUUGUAAAGCACUUUAAGUUGGGAGGAAGGGUUGUAGAUUAAUACUCUGCAAUUUUGACGUUACCGACAGAAUAAGCACCGGCUAACUCUGUGCCAGCAGCCGCGGUAAUACAGAGGGUGCAAGCGUUAAUCGGAAUUACUGGGCGUAAAGCGCGCGUAGGUGGUUUGUUAAGUUGGAUGUGAAAUCCCCGGGCUCAACCUGGGAACUGCAUUCAAAACUGACUGACUAGAGUAUGGUAGAGGGUGGUGGAAUUUCCUGUGUAGCGGUGAAAUGCGUAGAUAUAGGAAGGAACACCAGUGGCGAAGGCGACCACCUGGACUAAUACUGACACUGAGGUGCGAAAGCGUGGGGAGCAAACAGGAUUAGAUACCCUGGUAGUCCACGCCGUAAACGAUGUCAACUAGCCGUUGGA
rnacentral:rRNA from 1 species